rnacentral:lncRNA from 10 species
GGCGACAAAGAUAACGCCAUCUUGGGGAAGGCUGACGCUUAACUCUUAAGAACGUGAACUCCUGGGCCGGGCGCGGUGGCUCACGCCUGUAAUCCCAGCACUUUGGGAGGCUGAGGCGGGUGGAUCAGGAGGUCAGGAGUUUGAGACCAGCCUGACCAACAUGGUGAAACCCCGUCUCUGCUGAAAAUACAAGAAAAAAAAAAAAUUAGCCGAGCGUGGUGGUGCGCGCCUGUAUUCCCAGCUACUCAGGAGGCUGAGGCAGAAGAAUCGCUUGAACCUGGGAGGUGGAGGUUGCAGUGAGUCGAGAUCAAAAAAAAAAAAAACAAAGAACACGUGAACUCGAAAGCUGACUUUCUGGGUUGGAAUCGCUCUUCACGGCUUACUGCUUGUGUGACCUUGGGCAAGUUACUUAACUUCCGUGUGCCUCAGUUUCCAAAGGGGGAUAUAAUUUUAUUUACCUAAUGGGUCUUAGUGAGGAUUAGAUGAGUUAAAUGAGCUAGUCUUGAUAAAAAUGUUAAUGAUUAUGGUAGACAGACCAAUCACCCUCACCCCGACUCCCAGAUGUCUACCUUCUAAUCCCCAGAAUCUGGGUAUAUGGUGACCUUUAUAUAGCAAAAGAGAAUUGGCAGAGAUGAUGAAAUUAAAGCGAUUGAGAUGGGGAGCUAGCCUGGAUUGUGCAGGUGGGUCCCCUAUCAUCAAAACCAUCCUUAUAAGGGGUAGACAGGAUGGCCAGAGUCAGACAGAGAUCAGAGAUGCUUUGAAGAGGGAGAGUGGGACCACAUGCCUAGGUAUGCAGGAGGCCGCUAGAAAAAGCAAAGAAAUGAGCCCUCCUCCAGAGUCUCCAGAAGGAAUGCAGCAUUGCUGACACGGUGAUUUUAGUCUUGUAACACUCAUCUCAAACUUCUGACUUCCAGAACUCUACCAGAAUACGUUUGUGUUGUUUUAAGCCACCAAACUUGUGGCAAUUUGUUACAGCAGCAAGACGAAAGUGAUCAUAAUGAUUGUAACAGUGGCAUUUAGUAUAUGUGGGGCAUGUGUAUGACUCUUUGCAUAGAUUAUAUUAUAUAAUCCUUGCAAGAAUCCUAGAAGCGGACCUAUUAUCCACCAUAUUAGAGAGAAGAAAAAUGAGACUCAUCACAUCCUCAUCUCAUCUGUCUUUAUGGAGAAAAUGGGAAAAGGGAAAAGGAGAGGGGAAUUGAGGCAGUUGACUGUGUUCAGUCUUAUUUAUUUAUUUUCAUUUGUUUAUUUCUCCAAGUCCGCCAGUCUCUGAAAUUAGAACAGUAAGCAAUAUGAGAUAAUCGGGCCUAAUAAUGUUGUGAUUCUCUUUUCUUAAUGGAGUGGAAUGUUCUGUCCCCACAAGAAGGAUUAUACCUUAUAGACUUGUCUUGUUCAGAUUCUGUAUUUACCCAUUUUACUGAAACACAUACUAAAUUCCAUGUGUUUUUGUUACAAAUCUUCUGAAAGAAAAUGUGAAACAUUAAAAGGUAUUAAUAAUAAUUUUUUUUAAAAGGAAAAAAAAUGAGGCUCAGUUGCUUAAAUGGCAUGCCAGGGGUCAUUUCCCAGCUAGCAAGUGAAGGAGCCUUCAGUUAAAAAAUAACUCAAAGACAUUGAGUUAAUUAUUGGCGUGUUAUUUACUUGUAACUAGUGGAACCAGUAUAGACUGACUUCAUCUCAGAAAGCGAGGAAAGGAUUUAUAUAGAAGAAACACAGCUUCUAAACUAUGAAUGUUGGUUUUUUUGCCUAGCUGGACCCUGGCAAUGAAGCCAGUGAGUGUUCUGAUCCUGGAAAGCUAGAAAGAAAGUAAUUCUAGUUGCACGUGAAUGUCCCUGAAGACCAUGAGAAUUUAGCUUCCUCUGCACGAUGCCUGUCAGGGUCCUUGGUUGUCAUCUCCAUCUUAGCGAUGCAGGUUUGCACCCUCACCCUUGUCAGAAAUUCUCCCUAGAGUGGCAUCCAGCUGAUUGUAACCACCUCCCAAGCCACUUAAAUGACCAGGAGCAAGCUAGUGAGUCCCCUUUAUUCCCAGGCUCACUCAUUUUGCAGGCUGCAAAAGCACAAAAUAACUUAAUCUUGCAUUGACCAGAAUGCUCCCCUGUCAUACAAAUGAUUUUUCACAUAUCCCCCCAUUUCCUCAAACUCUCUCCUCUUUGUUUAUGUGUUCCAAGCAUCUGGGUCUAUCUGGAAUUGCCUUCCUCUACCAAGUACAAAAGUUGAAGCCCAGCCCAGUAUGUUCUUUACUCAGUCACCCUCUAAAUACAUGGACCUGGGUUUGUUCUGGAAGAAAGGGAGGGCAGGGACAUCCUAGUCUGGUGAAAAGAGCACAGGAUUUCCUCCGAGGCCGCUAGCACUCCGUUCCAGCUACGUUCCUUUAGUUAGUUUGGCAGCUCCCAUCUCCCCUCUGAGCCUCGGUUCUUUUACCCAGUUGGGCACACAGGAUGUUUGAGAUAAAGAGUGUAAGAAUGGUUUGCAAACUGAAAAUGCUGUGCCUGCAUCACUUGCAGGAUAGUUCUGCUCAGUGCCAGUUUUCUCACAGCAGAAGGCGUGUGCGUACCAACAGUCUGUGUUAUGACACUGCAUAUUUUGCAGUGUUUUGACCUCCGGUUUGUCCUUACCCCUUCUUUUAGGUGCUUUAAAUAAAGGGGGAGAGAGGAAAUCUUCUGAAGCAGAUGACAAUUAUUUCCCCCAAGCACAGCCACCAAGCCAUGCUCUUAUUUUGAAUGAUCUGCGUCAUUUUCCAACAUGAAGCCUCAGAAGGACAUGAUUACAGGCUGGACUCACCGACUGUAGCCUGUGCAGCUAUUGUAAUGUUUUAAUCAGUGAUUAAGUCAAGAGGUUUAAUUUAGUACCGGGCUCCGUUAAGCUUGUGAAAAUGGUUUUCUGCCUCCUCAAACUAAAAAUGUGUCUCUCCCCCAUGUGUCCAGCCCGAAGCAUCUUAACCUUUGUUCUAUCUUCAACACCGCUGGCUCUAACAAAUUACUCAGCAGUGAAUGAAUUAGCUGAGUCCAAUGUGUGAAAAAAGAUUAGGCUGGACCUAGGAAAAUUAGCUUCUAAGCACAGCACAGGAUGAGGCAUAAAGAUACCUGGACUCGUGCCCUGCAUGACAAAGAAGCUAAGCUUCAUUAGCGUCAGUCAUGACAUCCGUCAUUGGCAUUAUCUCAUUGAAUCCCUGCGACAACCUCAGGGGCAGAUGCUAUUAUUAUUCGCAUUUUGUAGAUGAAGAAAACUGAGACCCAGAGAAGGUAAAUAACUUGUCCAUGGUCACACAGGCAGUCUUGGUCCCAGGAUUUGAGUUGAGGCAGCCUAGCUCUGGGAUCCCCACACUGUCCUUCCUCCCUCGCUGGAUCUGAGACUACGUUAGCUUUGCAUUCAUUCAUUGAUUAACUCUGUUGGGGAAAGGGGACAUUUUAGGGAGCUACCCCAGAAUAGUUCUGCAGGAGGGACCUGUCUUUAGGUCAUUGCAAGCAGAGAUGACUAAGGAGGUGAGUGCCAGGAGUCCUGACCAUGCAAGCUAGAACUGGACAAGCAUCAUUUGGUAUCACGGAGAGCCCAGCCGAGCUUGCAAAUCUGGAGUAACAGGAUGGCCUAUGGGGCUUUUUCUGCAGCCUGGGGAAUUGGUGCCUGAGGCCAUGGCUAAAAAAAAAAAUGAGAGUUGCUAAAAACUACAGCCUCAAACUCUUAAUGGGGGCCCAAGUGCUGCCCCCCAGCUUCAACCCAAUGGCUUACUAUGAACAGGAGAAGAUGCUUUAUAGUGCUCAAAUCCACCCGACCCCACUGGAUUUAGAGAGGCAGCAGGGAAGUGGUAGAGGGAGCUGUCCACAUUAUGAGAUGUUGGCCUCAUAGAGAGGGACGGGAGGGACAUUUCUCUAAACUCCUAAAGCCAAGUGAGGGGCUCCAAAGAUGAGGAACAGAGUUCAAAUCAGAGAUCUGGCAAUGUCAUGGUGGGGAGUCUUGAAGGUGACCCAGCUGAACCCAAGAAGUAGGAAAAAGCAGAGAAAAGCCACAGCAAGAAGUAGGGAAAAGCAGAGAAAUGCCACAGUAAGAAGUAGAGAAAGCAGAGAAACAUCACAACUAGAAGCAGCCCAGGUCCCCGACCCUUCUUGUUGGCCCUGCGUUAGUUUCCUAGGGCCACCAUAACAAAAUGUCACAGACUAGAUGGCUUGAAACAAUAGAAAUUUAUUGUCUCACAGUUCCAGAGACUGGAAGCCCUAAAUCAAGGCAUCGCAAGGCCAGGUUCCCUCUGAAACCUGUAGGGGGAAUCCUUCCUUUCCUCCUCCCAGCCCCUGAUAGUGAGUGGCAGUCCUU